GGGGUUGUGGCUUAGCGGUAGAGCACUCACCUGGCACGUGUGAAGCACUGGGUUCGAUCUUCAGCAGCACAU
rnacentral:tRNA from 1 species